rnacentral:lncRNA from 1 species
UUCGUUAACUGCUGAGCCAUGGCAGGACCUUCACUAUUUUUUUGUUGUUGUUUUUGUCUAUGUUUGCCCAAUUCUUUAAAAAUUUGCCUAUCAUCUACUUGGCUUAUUCAAAAUUCAGCCGUGAGAAGAAAACGAUAUGUAAACUCUAGUGUCCCAAGCUCAACACAUAGAUACCCCGAGGUGUACAUUAUCCUCACAUUAUGGAUGAAAAAAUGGAGGUUUGAGUCCUUAAGUAACUCACUUUCAUUGCCUCGUUAACAGCAGAUUAGGAAUUAAGCCCAAAUCUGUUCAAUCCCAAAGUUUAUGCAUCCAUCCACGGAAUCUCAGGGGUGCUGCCCAGCGCUGGGUGAUUUCACAGAAUCAAAGUCUGUUCUCCCGACUUUGUCACUGUAGCCAGGGUUGAUAGGAGGGUAGGAAGCAAAACCUCAGCCAUUCCAAACCUUGCUCAGUCAUGUGACAGUAACAGUCUCCCUUCUUUAAUCCAUCCAUACAGAGAACUCUGUGUGUCAGGAAUCCCUCUGCAUGGAAAGCUAGCCAUCAUGUCACAGCUGAGUAAUCCCAGGACUCUGACCACUCGGAACCGGCCACUCCUCUUUCAGGUCUAAUCUCUUACUCCAAAAGGCCCAUUGCUGCCCUGGUGAGCCCAGAGGUGGGGCCAGAGAUGCCCCUGGCCUGCAACCCAGCAUUCACUCCCUAUUCCCCGCCUUCCCGGCCAGGUCACCUGACGGGCAGCUGGCUGGCUGGGGAGCCCAGGAGAAGCAGACUCUGGUCCCUGCAAGCUCACUGCUUGCUUGUUCCUCCCUCCGGUUACCCCUGCCUAGAGCUCAGGAAGCAGUUUCACCCAGAAGCCCCCUCCUUGCCAUCUUGCCCCACCCCUGCUCUAGCUCCGGCCACUUCCUGCUGGGCACCUGCCAGCCUGGCCACCCACCACUUCAAGAAUCUCAAGCAUUUCUGAGAAAUGUCAGAGAAAUGAAAACCUUUGCCCAUUUCAAUGAUUUCUCUUUCUCAAGCAAAAAGAUGAAAAACUACUCUGCUCAUAAAGACUAAAAAAGGAAUCCAGAGGUUUAAUAAUUUAAUUUUCUCCCCAAACUCUGGAGAGAAGCUGAAAGUAUUUGUGUAAACGCUGUUGCACAAUGAGUUAACCCACUUAUCUGGAAAGAAACAGGCACCAGGGUUUGUGCCUCUCUCUUUCAGUCAUUCUCCCCACCCCUUAAUCCAGACAAAAACAAAAGAGGGAGCAAUCAAACUGAGAAGUAGAUUCUGAUAGGACAGACGUAUUUAUUGAACCUCAACAGUUUCAUUGUGUAUAAGCAUUGGGAGGGCAGGGUAAAGACAGCAAGGUCUCUGUCCUACGUGAGUUUAUGCUCAUCAGAAAAUUUACACCCUAUUCCACAUGCCUGUGAGACCCCUCUAUAAGCUUUAUUCUAAUUUCCAUUUACUUAAGCCUUGCAAAUAAAUUCCCUCUAUUUUACCAGCUUCUCUUUCCCCCUCCUUAGAAAUAACAAGUUCAGAACUUUGCAUAAUGUUAGACGUAUCCAUGGCAGUGAUUUAAGAAUAUAAACAUCAUCUGAUGUUGCAGUAGAAAAAAAAAAAAUGUCGAGCAGAAGCUCAUCUGAAUAUUCCUCACCCGUGGGAAGGGAGAAAGUAGUUUGAGUGAGCUAGGGGUUCCUGUCACUGGCUAAAAUAUCAGUUACCAGAUGGCUUUGCAGGAGCAUUUCAUUAGGAAAGCCACCUCCACUUCCCCCAACUCCAUUCAAGACAAAGUCAAUCCCUUACCAUGUACAUGUAUCUCUACAGCCAACCCCCCCAACAGGUGCUCUGCUGGACAAUAGCUGUCAGAGGUUCCAUGUGUGAGUAAUUUCAUCCUCAGUACCUUGCCCUCCAUUAAGUGGCCAAUACAUAUUACAGGAAGGAGGACAUACAUGUAGGAGACAUCUGUUGCUGUAAGCUGUUACCCUGGUUGCACAAAACCAAGGAGGUGUUUUAGAUCUUUUGUGAUCCACUCAACCCGGCAAGGAUAUGGUACAGAGAGUUGUAAAUAUUUUAAAAGAGUAAAGAUUCCUCGGGACUUGAGAUCAGUUGGUAUCCUAAGCUUUCCCCAAGGCCAAGGGCUCAGGUGCUGCCCCUCAGAAACUCCAUCAUCUUCCUAAACAUCUCGGGUGUCGUUUUGACAUUUUAACGAGAAGUUGAUCCCAGCCUGGUAGCUAAAGAGUUUCUACAGAGGCACCAGACUAAUUGUCUGAGUAAGGAAAUGCCCACUGCAGACAGAGCUGUCCUAGAGACGCUUCCCUUCCUGGGGUCACUCCUAGCUCUGGAGACCCUUGCAGAAAGCUUGGAAAUGGGGGGAUGGCUUGUGGGAGAGACAGGCCACAGGUGCAUGUAACGUGGUCAUCAUCACAGCCACCUUCCAACUGUUCCUGGGACUGGACGACUGGGCCCUUUAGCACUGGUCAAAGGAGAGCACUGAUCUCAGAGUCAGGGUAAGUCCACCCAUAAAUCUGCAAAUAGAAGCUGGGAGAAUAAACCCGCCACUUACAAGUUUGGCUGGGCCAGCUGUUUGGGUCAGGGCUGUGAAUGCUGCCCCUGCCUUAGAAAAUCUGUUUUCUGAUCUGAGCUCAGCUCCAAACACCCGUGUGCCUUGGGAAAACCCUCCAGCUUUGCAGAGUAUUUUUGCCUCGUCCCUAAAGAGAGGGUUGGGACCUGACACUCCUGCACACUCUUUCUAUAGCUCACAUCCAAAGCCGGAUCCAAAAGAACCUCCUCACUCCUUCACCUCCCGCCACCGGUAAUCAGCAAAGACAGAAAAUCCCUGAAAAUAUUAACAGAGGAGGUCAAUAUAUUGAGCUGCGUGGCCUUUUCCUAUUCUGAGACUAUUUCAUGUCUUUAUGUUCUUACACUGAGCAAAACCCGGUCUGUGCCAAUCUACAUCAAAUGGCCAGGAAGGCACAGGGAGGAGCGACCCCCACAAAACCCGAGAUCCCGGCCUUUCAAAUGGCAAACUCAUUACGUCCCUGCGUCCUGACAGCCUUCGUGACAGCGCAUCCUGUCAGAGGCCCUUCUGGCGUCUCAAGCCCACACACAGAACUGAGUGUCACAUGGAUCACAGCAGGUCUUGGCAACAGACACUGAAAAUGUCAGAAAGCAAAAGCGGUGCUUGGGGGAUGUCACCGAGGGCUGGGAGCAGGUGUGAGGUUGCAUUAUAAACAAAAGCCACCAAUUGGAGAAAGGUCCUGGCCCUUGCGAUGAGCAAGACGGAGAUGGAAGAGAGGGAGGAAAAGGAGGCGGGGCUGAGACCCUGAGGGAGGCAGCAGGGCGCCUCUCCUGUGCGGCCUUUGCAACACUGGAAAGCUGCCUGGUCCCUGUAAGGACCGUUUUAUACUGCCAACUCUGCUGGGGUUGUACUCAGAGCAGGCGGUAGAAAUUUGAACAAGGGAGGGUAACACCCUGCAGGGAGAGGCCUUGGGCUUCACAACAAAUUGUGGCUUUAGUGGAUUUGGGGGAAACAACAAAAUCUCAGAGCCCCAGUUCCACCCUAUCCAAAAUAAGGGCAGUAACUUGGUCCAGCAAGACAGUUUAAAGAUCUACAAGAAAUGUUGCAAGUGAAAUGCCCGGCACCUAGCCGGCACUCAGCAGACAGGUGCUGGGGGACCAGGGCCCUGCUCAGGGGAGCCCAGGAGUCUCCGCCAGUGAGGUGAGAGAGAUCACGGGCAGGUACCUUUCUCCCUGGAGCAGGUACCGUUCUCCCUGGAGCAACAAGGAACUUCACCAGGCAGAGAGUGAAGGAAAGAUGCCCAAAGAGGACCCAGGAAACAGAAGUCAGGGAGGCAAGUCAACCAUUGUGUCUAUCUAGUUGAGAUGUUUGUGCCUGAGCAGGAUGGGCCACAGCCACAGCUCGGAGGGCCCUGAAGGCUAGUUCAGGACCCAGGCAGGGAGGAACCACAGUCUUGCUCGACCUUGGGGUGACAUGUGCAAGUUCACUCGGCUGGUUUUUUGGGUAUAAAUUUGAAGGUUGUCUUGGCCAGACGAGCUUAGAAGACUCCUGUGCUCAGGAUCCUUGUCAGGCAGAUAUGUUUUAGUUGCUGUAAUUGAUUACAGGGCUCCACUGAGAAUAGUGUCAGAAUUAAGUGGCGGGGGAGAGGGGAUGAGCAAAGAGAGAACAGGUCAUAUCAAAGAAAUGGUCUCCAGCUGCCAUGGGCCAACAGACAGCUGGCCCCACUCAGAUCUGGUCCACUUGUAACACUUUUCAGUAACAUAGCUUUAUCUGCUCAAUUACUUUAAAACAAUUUAUAAACUUCCCUCUAGCUGCCUAAGGAAUUGACUCCAUAGAAAAAAUGCAUAGAGAAAAAAAAAGGCAUAUAUAUGUCUGACUGGCAAUUACUCAUUGAGCACCUGCCUACUGGAGUGGAGAAUUCACACAACUAACCUGCCUCCCUGUGAACCACAGUGAGGCGACGGCUCAUUCACCUGUUCACCUCCCACCCACUGCCUGGAGGCGGCCAGGCACCAGGAGGGAGGGAAGAUGAGAUGCAAGCAGAAAUGUGUGCAGACCAGCAUCUGAUCCUUUGUUUCAUACUACAGACCAGAGCUACCCCCAUAAAAAGACAAUAGGAGGCACAAAUGUCAUUUUUUUUGGCCACAAGUGUCAUUUCAAAUGUUCUAGUACCCACAUUAUUAAAAAGCUAAAAUGAUUGCCAUUUCAUCAUGUGAACCAGCCACAUCUCAGGGGCUCAAGAGCCAUGGGAGGUGAGUGGCCACAGGACCAGACAUAGUACAGAUACUGACUGGUUUCUUUACAUAGAACAAUGAGGCAAAAAUACCAGCAAAUGAGAGGAUGAAAUGGGGAGGGGUGGGCGGGGCUUCCAUGAGAACCAAGGGGCAGUUCUUGGCCCACUGGUUGGGGCAGGGAGGUGUUCCAGAGCGAGAGGCCUGGGGUGGGCAUUUCCAGGCCAGUGGGAUGUUACCAAGGGGAAGGCUGAGGCUCAGGAUGACACACAGGGGGCAGUCACAAUGCAGAGAGCUACCUGGGCAAGUUUGGGGGGCAGCCAGAGAGAUAACCCUAGAGAAGGAGGAACCCUCAGAUGCCCGAGGCCUCCCUCUGACCUCUGGAUUUGAUAGCAUCUUGCUCAAGAGCUAUUAUCCGACAGGCUCUGUCCUCCACCAUCAGGCCACCUCCUUACAGAUGGACUUGCAAUCUUUCUGUCCUGGGUGACCUCUCUCUUCCAGUCUGGUUUCCUCUCUUGGGUAUAAUCUAGGCAUCUUACUGGGCAGCAGAGAUGGGAGUACAGCAUCCUACAGUAAGCAAAGGGGUUAAAGAUGCAAACUGCUGUCAGGGAUUCAGCUCCCCUGAAACUUCAACCUUCCAGGCUAAGCUGGGAUAGAAAGAGGAGCUCUGAGGAGGUCCUGGCCAGGAUCCCAGCCCAGCACCUUGUUCUCUUGGCCUCCCUCGGCUCUCUUGCUUCCUAGAGAUGGCAGAAGCUGUGCUGACCUGGAAAUAUUCCUGCUGGUAACAGUCCCACCAUGAGGCAGCCUGCAGCCCUGUGACCUGAGCCAGCUCUGAAGUAUUGGGCAAAUCCCACAGGCCACCAGACUGCAAGUUCCUUAGCAUUCAUGCCACCAAAGUGGAUAUUUCCUCUUAAGUACUUAAAGAGAGAGAGAGAGGGAUGGAGGGAGAGAGAGGGAGCACACAAGAGAGAGGGGUCAGAUUCAGCUGUCAGCCUAGAAAUGGGAAGUAAAACUGGCAUGGAAAUUAGGCUGCAGCCCAGGCAAGAGGCCCCCCCACCUACCUGGUGCUCAACCCGGGCAGGACAUGAAAGUCAUUUGGGAACAUCUAUAUCAUAUGGAUGCCCAGGUUUUGCCCCAGACCAAAGAAAGCAGAAUCCCAAAGGAAAGAGCCCUGAAAACCACUGUUUUCAUUUGGUUUUGAUUUUUCAAAUGUCUCCUGUGAUUCUCACGAACAGGCAGAGUCGAGGCCUCUGUGCUAGACCAUCCGGCCAGCUCGCAGGAGACUGACUGCUCCAGGGUUCAGGCCAAAGACUCAUGCAAAUGAGAGUGUGUGUUUGCCUGACUCUGCCUCGUAGGCUACUUGUCUUGGGAAUUUGGGGGGAGCAUGGGUGAGAAAAGGUAAGACAAGAAUAGCAUCUGGAUGUUCUCAGCUUGGAGGACUCAGCUAAAUUUCAUCCCUCAACUGGGCCAACACAGGCCGGCCCAUUACAUCUCACUUUGCUUUUGUGGCACUCUUAAAAAGGACAGUGUCACAGAUGUGUGGGGAAUGUAC